CUUAGGCAUGUGAAGACAAAGCCUGUACAAUGGAUUGUGUGGGUCAAAUACUGAGUCGACAAGAUAAAGAUGGAUGCUAUACAAAAGUGAAAAAGAAGGCAUAUGAAACAAUGAAACCAAAGAGAAUAUCAAAGGAGGAGAUACUUCGUCUAAUGGAAGAAAAGAAACAACUGAAAGAACUUAGGACAUGUGGUCACAAGGUUUGCAGAAAAAGGGGUUACAUAUUGCACAACGUCAAACCCCAUGGAAAGAACUAUUGUAUGGGCUACGGUAGUUCCUGAAGAAACUUAUGUGAUUUCUGAAGAUGCCUUGGAGACAAGCACAAGAGAACUAGGAAGCCAAUGAGGAAAGCAAUAUCGACAAAAGAAGAAAAAAAAAAUGAAGAAAAAAAAGAAAAAGAAAC